rnacentral:rRNA from 1 species
UACGUAGGGGGCAAGCGUUGUCCGGAUUUACUGGGCGUAAAGAGCGUGUAGGCGGCCACGCAGGUCCGUUGUGAAAACUGGAGGCUCAACCUUCAGACGUCGACGGAAACCGUGUGGCUAGAGUCCGGAAGAGGAGAGUGGAAUCCUGGUGUAGCGGUGGAAAUGCGCAGAUAUCAGGAAGAACACCAAUGGCGAAGGCAGCUCUCUGGGACGGUACUGACGCUGAGACGCGAAAGCGUGGGGAGCGAACAGG